UAACAGCAUAAGAGAGGUAGUGACAAGAAAUAACAAUACAAGGCAGUUAAAAUGCUUUGUAAUUGGAAUGAUAGAAAUUUAAACACUUUUUAAAGUAUCAAUUGGAGGGCAAGUCUGGUGCCAGCAGCCGCGGUAAUUCCAGCUCCAAUAGCGUAUAUUAAAAUUGUUGCAGUUAAAAAGCUCGUAGUUGAAUUUCUGCUAAAAAUAACCGGUCUGCUUUUAAUAAAGGUGGUAUCUUGGUGUGUUUUUAGCAAUAAUGUCCUUUGAAAUGUUUUUUACUUCAUUGUAAUAAAUUAUAUUUAGGAUUUUUACUUUGAGAAAAUUAGAGUGUUUCUAGCAGGCUAAUGCUUUGAAUACUGCAGCAUGGAAUAAUAAAAUAGGAUUUUGGUUCUACAUUAUUG
rnacentral:rRNA from 1 species